rnacentral:pre_miRNA from 7 species
UUCUUGGGGUUCGGGGUGCCCCCAAAAUCCCGGACGAGCCCCCACGAUGUAGGACCCCAAAUUUAGGGACCCCGCUCUAAUCCAGGAACAGGCGGCACCCACAAACACAAGAAUCC